GGGCCGGUAGCUCAGGCGGUAGAGCAUUCGCCUCUUAAGCGAAUUGUCCUGGGUUCGAGUCCCAGCCGGCUCA
rnacentral:tRNA from 1 species